rnacentral:rRNA from 1 species
UACGAAGGGGGCUAGCGUUACUCGGAAUUACUGGGCGUAAAGGGCGCGUAGGCGGCGCUCCAAGUUAGGCGUGAAAGUCCUGGGCUCAACCUGGGAACUGCGCUUGAUACUGGAGUGCUUGAGGAUGGAAGAGGGUUGUGGAAUUCCCAGUGUAGAGGUGAAAUUCGUAGAUAUUGGGAAGAACACCGGUGGCGAAGGCGGCGAGCUGGUCCAUUACUGACGCUGAGGCGCGACAGCGUGGGGAGCAAACAGG